CGGGGGAGCAGGGUCCCGGUCUGUGUCCCCCGCGCCCUGGGCUCCGGGGCCUGCGCCGCUGGAAUCGCGCUCCCGGGCCACGGCUCCCG
rnacentral:pre_miRNA from 1 species